GACGUAGGAGGCGAGCGUUAUCCGGAUUCACUGGGCGUAAAGCGCAUGUAGGCGGUUGCACAAGUCCGUUGUUAAAGCCCCUGGCUCAACUGGGGGAGGGCAAUGGAGACUGUGCGACUUGAGGGCAGUAGAGGCACGUGGAACUCCCGGUGUAGCGGUGGAAUGCGUAGAGAUCGGGAAGAACACCAGUGGCGAAGGCGACGUGCUGGGCUGCAACUGACGCUGAGAUGCGAAAGUGUGGGGAGCAAACGGG
rnacentral:rRNA from 1 species